GUAUUGAUUGCGUGUGAUCGCAAAAGUAAGACAUUCUACACAUUUCAUUAAAAGGGUGUCUAUGUAAAAACGUGAAGACCCCCCUCAGAACUAGCCAAAAGGAGAGCACCCACGCGGUGAUUCACAAAGGGGUGAGAUGGAUUGUAAGAGAGCACCGGAGCGUGCACAAAGUCAGCGACAGCCCCGGCACCUCCGUUAUACGAUAAUGAUCCUUCCGCAGGUUCACCUACGGAAA
rnacentral:misc_RNA from 1 species